rnacentral:rRNA from 1 species
AUUGAACGCUGGCGGCAGGCCUAACACAUGCAAGUCGAGCGGAUGAAGGGAGCUUGCUCCUGGAUUCAGCGGCGGACGGGUGAGUAAUGCCUAGGAAUCUGCCUGGUAGUGGGGGACAACGUUUCGAAAGGAACGCUAAUACCGCAUACGUCCUACGGGAGAAAGCAGGGGACCUUCGGGCCUUGCGCUAUCAGAUGAGCCUAGGUCGGAUUAGCUAGUUGGUGAGGUAAUGGCUCACCAAGGCGACGAUCCGUAACUGGUCUGAGAGGAUGAUCAGGCACACUGGAACUGAGACACGGUCCAGACUCCUACGGGAGGCAGCAGUGGGGAAUAUUGGACAAUGGGCGAAAGCCUGAUUCAGCCAUGCCGCGUGUGUGAAGAAGGUCUUCGGAUUGUAGAGCACUUUAAGUUGGGAGGAAGGGUUGUAGAUUAAUACUCUGCAAUUUUGACGUUACCGACAGAAUAAGCACCGGCUAACUCUGUGCCAGCCGCCGCGGUAA